AAAAAGAACUAUUAUGUCUUUAUGAUAGAAAAGUUUGAUGCUAAUGACGGUACAUGCUUCUAUACACAUCACAUAUAUACAAUAAUAAUGCAAAUCACUAAUUUACAUAGGUGAGAAGAGAAAAUAAAUACUAUUUAAUUUUAUGAUAGCUUUGUUGGCC